GAUGAACGCUGGCGGCGUGCUUAACACAUGCAAGUCGAACGAUGAAGCCCAGCUUGCUGGGUGGAUUAGUGGCGAACGGGUGAGUAACACGUGAGUAACCUGCCCUUAACUCUGGGAUAAGCCUGGGAAACUGGGUCUAAUACCGGAUAGGAGCGUCCACCGCAUGGUGGGUGUUGGAAAGAUUUAUCGGUUUUGGAUGGACUCGCGGCCUAUCAGCUUGUUGGUGAGGUAAUGGCUCACCAAGGCGACGACGGGUAGCCGGCCUGAGAGGGUGACCGGCCACACUGGGACUGAGACACGGCCCAGACUCCUACGGGAGGCAGCAGUGGGGAAUAUAGCACAAUGGGCGCAAGCCUGAUGCAGCGACGCCGCGUGAGGGAUGACGGCCUUCGGGUUGUAAACCUCUUUCAGUAGGGAAGAAGCGAAAGUGACGGUACCUGCAGAAGAAGCACCGGCUAACCACGUG
rnacentral:rRNA from 1 species